GAUGAACGCUGGCGGCGUGCCUAAUACAUGCAAGUCGAGCGAACAGACGAGGAUCUUGCUCCUCUGACGUUAGCGGCGUACGGGUGAGUAACACGUGGAUCACCUACCUAUAAGACUGGGAUAACUUCGGGAACCCGGAGCUAAUACCGGAUAAUAUCUUUAACCGCAUGGUUCAAUAGUGAAAGACGGUUUUGCUGUCACUUAUAGAUGGAUCCGCGCCGCAUUAGCUAGUUGGUAAGGUAACGGCUUACCAAGGCAACGAUGCGUAUCCGACCUGAGAGGGGGAUCGGCCACAAUGGAAAUGAGACACGGUCCAGACUACUACGGGAGGCAGCAGUAGGGAAUCUUCCGCAAUGGGCGAAAGACUGACGGAGCAACGCCGCGUGAGUGAUGAAGGUCUUCGGAUCGUAAAACUCUGUUAUUAGGAAAGAACAAAUGUGUAAGUAACUAUGCACGUCUUGACGGUACCUAAACAGAAAGCCACGGCUAACUACGUG
rnacentral:rRNA from 1 species